CCUACGGGAGGCAGCAGUGAGGAAUAUUGGACAAUGGGCGCAAGCCUGAACCAGCCAAGUAGCGUGAAGGAUGACUGCCCUAGGGGUUGUAAACUCCUUUUACAGGGGAAUAAAGUGCAGUAUGUAUACUGUGUUGCAUGUACCUUAUGAAUAAGGAUCGGCUAACUCCGUUCCAGGAGCCGCGGUCAUACGGAGGGUCCGAGCGUUAUCCGGAUUUAGUGGGUUUAAGGGGAGCGCAGAAGGGUUGUUAAGUCAGUUGUGAAAGUUUGCGGCUCAACCGUAGAAUUGCAGUUGAUACUGGCAGCCUUGAGUAUAGUAGAGGGAGGUGGAAUUCGUGGUGUAGCGGUGAAAUGCUUAGAUAUCACGAAGAACUCCGAUUGCGAAGGCAGCCUGCUGGACUGUAACUGACGCUGAUGCUCGAAAGUGUGGGUAUCAAACAGGAGUAGAUACCCGAGUAGUC
rnacentral:rRNA from 1 species